AUUGAACGCUGGCGGCAGGCCUAACACAUGCAAGUCGAACGAGUGGCGGACGGGUGAGUAAUGUCUGGGAAUCUGCCUUAUGGAGGGGGAUAACUACGGGAAACGGUAGCUAAUACCGCAUACCAUCGGAUGAGCCCAGAUGGGAUUAGCUAGUUGGUGGGGUAAAGGCUCACCAAGGCGACGAUCUCUAGCUGGUCUGAGAGGAUGACCAGCCACACUGGGACUGAGACACGGCCCAGACUCCUACGGGAGGCAGCAGUGGGGAAUAUUGCACAAUGGGGGCAAGCCUGAUGCAGCCAUGCCGCGUGAAUGAAGAAGGCCUUCGGGUUGUAAAGUACUUUCGGCGGCGAGGCGUUACCCGCAGAAGAAGCACCGGCUAACUCCGUGCCAGCAGCCGCGGUAAUAC
rnacentral:rRNA from 1 species